CUUUUUACAUCCUUAUUUCUAAAGCUGUAAAUUAGAGGAUUCAGUGCUGGUGUAACAACGGAAUAAAACACUGAAAUGGCUUUGUCGAUUUCAUAGUUUUCACCAGAAGAUGGACGAAGGUACAUGAAUAUAACGGUUCCAAAGAAAAUGGUCACAACUGAAAAAUGUGAUGCACAGGUGGAGAAAGCUUUGUGGCGGCCAGAUCUUGAAGAUAUCCUUAGUAUGGCUGAAAUUAUGAAAAUGUAGGAUACAGUAACAAUAGAUAAGGAUCCAAGAACUACAACAGCUGAUACCAGUAAAACUAUGAUGUCUAAGAAUAACGUGUCUGAAGAAGACAAUUUUACCAAAGGGCCAACAUCACAGAAGAAAUGGUUAAUAGUUUUUGAGCCACAAAAAGGUUUAUGAGAAAGGACAAUAGUAGGUACAGUUGGCACCAUACAUCCACUUAUCCAAGACCCAAUGACGAGUUUGUAGUAUAAUGAUCUGUUCAUGAUGUUAACAUAGUGAAGUGGGUGGCAGAUGGCCAGAUAACGAUCAAAUCCCAUUAAAGCCAGAAUAAAGAAUUCUGUGGUGCCAAAAAGGAAAAAGAAAUACAUUUGAGUAAGGCAACAGUUAAAUGAGAUAGUCAUGUUUCCAGUCAACAAAGCGUCAAGCAUUUUGGGUACAGUGACUGUGGUGUAACCUAUCUCAAGGAAAGAGAAGUUAUUAAGAAAAAAAUACAUAGGUGUUCUUAGAGAGGAG